GUGAGGAAUAUUGCGCAAUGGAGGCAACUCUGACGCAGCCAUGCCGCGUGCAGGAAGAAGGCGCUACGCGUUGUAAACUGCUUUUAACCGGGAAGAAACCCCAGGACGUGUCCUGGGUUGACGGUACCGGAGGAAUAAGCACCGGCUAACUUCGUGCCAGCAGCCGCGGUAAUACGAAGGGUGCAAGCGUUAUCCGGAUUCAUUGGGUUUAAAGGGUGCGUAGGCGGAGCGUUAAGUCAGUGGUGAAAUCCUGCAGCUUAACUGUAGACUUGCCAUUGAUACUGGCGCUCUUGAGUGCGCUUGAAGUGGGCGGAAUGUGCCGUGUAGCGGUGAAAUGCUUAGAUAUGGCACAGAACACCAAUUGCGAAGGCAGCUCACUAAGGCGAUACUGACGCUGAGGCACGAAAGCGUGGGGAUCGAACAGGAUUAGAAACCCUGGUAGUCC
rnacentral:rRNA from 1 species